rnacentral:lncRNA from 1 species
CAUAAUUGCCAAGGCCUAUCCAAAUUAUUACAAGGGGCGCGCAGGAUCAAGAUGAAAUGAGCUAGCUAUUUCAAGAGGUGCUUGAUCGACCACGGCCACGUACGUACGUCACUCAAUCUCAACAAGCCAUGUAAUUGAAACAGCAAUGUUGAUGAUAUUUUUGGCAGUGAAACAGCAUCGUUAUUUCAAAUGGUUCGUGCAAAGAAAGCACUGCUUUCGUAUCGGCUCUCUGAGUAUGUGAAGGACAGCGUCUCUAUUUCUCCCAGGCCAGCUGCCCUCGCCUCCCGACGGUCAUUUCUCCUUCGCGGUGGUGAGGAAAAACAAGCGAGCACAUGUUCGGAGCUGAGAGUGCAGUGCAGUGAGAGCUCGAGAGAGCUGAGAAGCCCCGAUAUUGCUGUGCUGGUGUGCUUUGAUGUUGAUACAGCCCCUUUCAUCUCGUUGAUAACAAGAAGAGCAAAGUGAUGAACCUACAAGGCAAGAUGAGAAACUUCUUGGACCUCACGACUUUCUGCUAUUGCCACACUUAUGAGGACACAGGAGGAAAUUCUCUGGUUCAAGGAAGGCAUGGUGCUGGCUAGGCUGGGACUCGAUCAUGAUAUAGAUGUCUUGCGUCUCUCAUUACAGAUCCACAGAUUCUGUAUUGCAGAAGUACCAAGAGAGCACUCACUCCUAGGCAUGCCUACAUCAUUCCGAGUCCAGAAUCUACUGCUGGCUCUCUGAUCCCUAGUGCACUGUCUUCAUGGAUACCCCAGCAGAUCCUUGUCAUGCACGUCUCAUUGUUUUAUCUCGACAUCAUGAUUCUGAAGAGUUGCAUUGCUGCAAAAACAAUGUUGCCCCAAGGAGAGAGUUUCCUACAUCCACUUGAGAAACUGAAACUAAAGAUUUAAGCUGCCCAUGGGUAUUCUACUCCCAAUAUUUGCAACAUGCCUUUUAAAGAAUCUGCACAUCUAAACGUGAAGUUGCCCAACCGAGGGAUACUAGUGUCCAUGAUCAGAGCUUGAGAAACAGAUCCUUUCAUACUUGAGGAACAGUACAAUAUCAAAGUAUAGCUGGUAAUCUGAACAUUUGAAAUUUGGUCGGCAGAGGGGUGCAAGUAUUCAAGUGAUGCAGAGAAUAUUUGCAAUGGCAGCAGGGCAGUGCAUCCAUCGUCACUCCUCACAUCGUUUCCAGAAUGAGGAUCACAAGUAUUCAAGGGAUGCAGAGAACAUUGGAAACGGCAGCAGGACAGAGCAUCAAUCAUCACUCCUCACAUCGUUUCCAGAAUGAAGAUCACAACUAUUCACUAGAUGCAAUGAACAUUGGUAAUGGCAGCAGGGCAGAGCAUCCAUCGUCGCCCCUCACAUAGUCUCCAGAAUGAGGAUCACAAGUAUUCAAGGGAUGCAUAGAACAUUGGCAAUGGUAGCAGGGCAGAGCAUCCAUUGUCAUUACGUUACAUCGUUUCCAGAAUGAGGAUCACAAGAGAGUUGUGUUCAAUUCAUUUUGAAGAUGGGAAACCAACUGCGGACCAUCCAUAUCCAGUCCAGUGCAUGGGUUACAAGAACUUUAAAACAUUGUCUCCUGGAAGGCCACUUCCUAAACAACGGACACCAUCCAAAUCUACAGACUCACCAGCUGACAAGAAACCACUUCCUAAGCAGCCAGAGAAUGAUCCCGAUGAGAGUGCAGAGGAGGGUAUAUAUCACACAUCUACACAGACAGAUGGACCAAAGCUGGAAAAUUCGUACUCUCAGUGGAGGGAUGUCACCCUCGAAGACCACACAUAUGCAAAGAUAUGCAAUUUGCAAAACACUAAAGCAAGUCAAACCGAACGUUGUCCAGAAGUAUCGGCAAAAGACAUGAAUGAUGGGGUCCUAAAAUUCU